AGUGAACGCUGGCGGUAGGCCUAACACAUGCAAGUCGAACGGCAGCACAGUAAGAGCUUGCUCUUACGGGUGGCGAGUGGCGGACGGGUGAGGAAUACAUCGGAAUCUACUUUUUCGUGGGGGAUAACGUAGGGAAACUUAAGCUAAUACCGCAUACGACCUACGGGUGAAAGCAGGGGAUCUUCGGACCUUGCGCGAUUGAAUGAGCCGAUGUCGGAUUAGCUAGUUGGCGGGGUAAAGGCCCACCAAGGCGACGAUCCGUAGCUGGUCUGAGAGGAUGAUCAGCCACACUGGAACUGAGACACGGUCCAGACUCCUACGGGAGGCAGCAGUGGGGAAUAUUGGACAAUGGGCGCAAGCCUGAUCCAGCCAUACCGCGUGGGUGAAGGAGGCCUUCGGGUUGUAAAGCCCUUUUGUUGGGAAAGAAAAGCAGCAGGUUAAUACCCCGCUGUUCUGACGGUACCCAAAGAAUAAGCACCGGCUAACUUCGUG
rnacentral:rRNA from 1 species